UCCAGCGAGGAAUAUGAAAGCCGUGACCGCCACCAUUCUCACCGAGAUAAAAAGAAGCACAAGAAAGACAAGAAGAAGUCCAAGCAUAAGAAGAAGAAGCACAAGAAGCGUGUGAAGAAGCGAUCUCGGCGGGACAGCAGUGCCGACUCGCAGUCUUCACGGUCUGCGUCACGCUCCAGGUCUCCUGUCAGGAGGGACAGAGAACCAGAGAAAGAAAAGUCAGAGAGUCCCCCUCCCACCCACUGGAGACCAGGCCAGGCUCCCCUCAAACCACACAAAACAGAACUGCACCGACAGAGGGCGCCGCUCACUAACGGAGAGGACAGGGAGGAGGAGGCGUCCAGUGUCAACGGACGUCGGUCCCCUAGCCGGAGCCCCUCCCCCUCGCCUCCCCCCAGACGACGCAGCCCCUCCCCCUC